CUUGGUCAUUUAGAGGAAGUAAAAGUCGUAACAAGGUCUCCGUAGGUGAACCUGCGGAGGGAUCAUUAUCGAACGGGGCCUCCGGGCCACCUUCGCUCAAACCCGUGGAUACCAGAUGUGCUUCGGCGCCUCGUGCGUCGAGUCAAUGCAUCCAUGCUUCGUCGUCUGAUUAUAAAUGGAAUUUUAAAACUUUCAACAAAGGAUCUCUUGGCUCUCGUAUCGAUGAAGAACGCAGCAAAGCGCGAAAUGUAAUGUGAAUUGCAGAACAUUGUGAAUCAUCGAAUCUUUGAACGCACAUUGCGCCUCCCGUCAAUGGGAGGCAUGCCUGUCUGAGCGUCGUUUAAAACCAUGAUCCCUUCUGGGGGUCGUAUUGGGUUUCGCCUCUGCCGGCGUCUCCUCAAAGUAAUCGUGUCUCAGAGCGGACGAGAUCCAUUAGGACGGAACGUUCGAGGACCCUAAACACUCUCUGACUUGACCUCAGAUCAGGUAGGACUACCGCCUGAACUUAAGCAUAUCAAUAAGCGGAGGA
rnacentral:rRNA from 1 species